UGAGGUGAUAUAUUUGUACUGCACUAGACUGAGACAACUGAUCACUUGUAGAGUGUGUGUCCACAGAGUAUCCAGAAUCAGGAUAAGUAGAAGGAGCAACCUUCCCUACUUGGUGUGCAUACUGUCCUGCUCCAUUCUUCUUAGAUUUAGGCCAGUCUGAGGGAUAACCAAUCAGCUUAAAACAUUGUUCCCUUGUGUGACCAUUAUAC
rnacentral:lncRNA from 1 species